rnacentral:tRNA from 1 species
UCCCUGGUGGCUCCAAUGGUAGAGAACCUGCUUACAAUGCAGGAGACCCAGUUUCAAUCCCUGGAUGGGGAA